ACUCCUACGGGAGGCAGCAGUGGGGAAUAUUGCACAAUGGGCGCAAGCCUGAUGCAGCCAUGCCGCGUGUAUGAAGAAGGCCUUCGGGUUGUAAAGUACUUUCAGCAGUGAGGAAGGUGGGUAUGUUAAUAGCAUAUUCAUUUGACGUUAGCUGCAGAAGAAGCACCGGCUAACUCCGUGCCAGCAGCCGCGGUAAUACGGAGGGUGCGAGCGUUAAUCGGAAUUACUGGGCGUAAAGCGCAUGCAGGUGGUUUGUUAAGUCAGAUGUGAAAGCCCGGGGCUCAACCUCGGAAUUGCAUUUGAAACUGGCAAACUAGAGUACUGUAGAGGGGGGUAGAAUUUCAGGUGUAGCGGUGAAAUGCGUAGAGAUCUGAAGGAAUACCGGUGGCGAAGGCGGCCCCCUGGACAGAUACUGACACUCAGAUGCGAAAGCGUGGGGAGCAAACAGGAUUAGAUACCCUGGUAGGCACAGC
rnacentral:rRNA from 1 species